GGCCACUGGUAGCCGUAGCCAAAUCUGCCACCAGACCCACCCAGCUUGGGCUGCCUGGCAGGCAGAGGUGGGUCAGCACCCUCUCUGGACACCAGUGACUCCUGAGAGCCUGCAGCUCUGGAUGCCUCUGUCGGACCUAGAGCUGAAGAUGAAAUUGGCCUGAGGAAGAUUGAUGGUGGCCAACAUCAGGCUACUGAGGCCUAAGGCCCGCGAUUACGAUUCGGGCCAACUGUAGCUAUUUCUUUGAGGCCAACAUAUGUGAGAAGAGAAACAAAAUCAACACAUAUAUCUAUUACCUACUAUCUUAGCUGCUAGGCACUGUAGGGAGAAACCCAGACCUAUUAGCCUUCACCUGCAAGUGGUUUAUAUAUUUGGGGUGAUGAAAUAUAUAGAGAUAGACACGGAGACAUGAGAUGCACAGGUUAAAUAGUAUGAAUCAGUUUCAAUGCCUGUUCUAGGCUAGAGAGAAGAGGGUUACAAGGUGGUCCAUAAUUACCAGGCUGGGACGAGUGCAGUUAAUGAGUCCUGCAGGCUUUGGGAGGAGGGCUCUGGAGGCCCUGACUGCAGGACAACUAGUCUGGGAGCAACGCGUCGGCCGAGGGAGACCACUUGGAGGCAUUCACAAGAAACCAGGCAGACAUCAGGUCGCAGUGCUGGAGUGUUAAGAGGAAAACUAGAAACCAACAGCAAGAGGAGCUAGAAAACUAGAGAAGCAACAGUGAGGAGCCAGAGGGCUGCACUUCCUUUCUCAAGACCCAGAAACAACGGAGCGAGACCCAGAUUCCUGGAUCCACUGUUCCGGCUAUGGAGCACUCCUGGAAAACUUCCGGAUACGACGCUCUUCUUUUAGAAAGGCCUCUACGGGUCGGAGAUUUAGCUCCGUGGCACCGCGCCUGCCUGGCAAGCUCAAAUUCCCGAGUUCGAUCCCUGGUACCAAAAAAAAAAAAAAAAAAAAAAGAGCCUUUAAGACCCUUACACGAAUCUCCAAAGCCCUGUUAGGAUCUCCGCCUUUCAGGCUAAGGACUCCAAGUGCAAAUAACCUGCUUUUGCUCCCGUUGCC
rnacentral:lncRNA from 1 species